AGUGGGGAAUAUUGGACAAUGGGCGAAAGCCUGAUCCAGCCAUGCCGCGUGUGUGAAGAAGGCCUUUUGGUUGUAAAGCACUUUAAGCGAGGAGGAGGCUACUUGGAUUAAUACUCUAGGAUAGUGGACGUUACUCGCAGAAUAAGCACCGGCUAACUCUGUGCCAGCAGCCGCGGUAAUACAGAGGGUGCGAGCGUUAAUCGGAUUUACUGGGCGUAAAGCGUGCGUAGGCGGCUUUUUAAGUCGGAUGUGAAAUCCCUGAGCUUAACUUAGGAAUUGCAUUCGAUACUGGUCAGCUAGAGUAUGGGAGAGGAUGGUAGAAUUCCAGGUGUAGCGGUGAAAUGCGUAGAGAUCUGGAGGAAUACCGAUGGCGAAGGCAGCCAUCUGGCCUAAUACUGACGCUGAGGUACGAAAGCAUGGGGAGCAAA
rnacentral:rRNA from 1 species